rnacentral:rRNA from 1 species
CACAAGCGGUGGAGCACGUGGUUUAAUUCGAUGCAAACCGAAGAACCUUACCUGGUCUUGACAUCCCGGAGACCCUUAGGAAACUAGGGGGUGCUUCCAUCUGGAAGAACCUGGAGACAGGUGCUGCAUGGCUGUCGUCAGCUCGUGUCGUGAGAUGUUGGGUUAAGUCCCGCAACGAGCGCAACCCUUGCCUUUAGUUGCCAGCAGUUCGGCUGGGCACUCUAAAGGGACUGCCGGUGUUAAACCGGAGGAAGGUGGGGAUGACGUCAAGUCCUCAUGGCCUUUAUGACCAGGGCUACACACGUACUACAAUGGCCGAUACAAAGGGCAGCGACACUGCGAGGUGAAGCCAAUCCCGUAAAAUCGGUCUCAGUCCGGAUUGGAGUCUGCAACUCGACUCCAUGAAGUUGGAAUCGCUAGUAAUCGUGGAUCAGCAUGCCACGGUGAAUACGUUCCCGGGCCUU